rfam:Schistosoma haematobium scaffold1468_6, whole genome shotgun sequence.
AUCUAGCUAAUGAGUCUCAAAUAGGACGAAACGAGCGUCCUGGAU